GUCGCCAAACAGCAGAUGGUAGAGCAGAGGACUGAAAAUCCUCGUGUCACCAGUACAAAU
rnacentral:tRNA from 1 species